rnacentral:rRNA from 1 species
AUUGAACGCUGGCGGCAGGCCUAACACAUGCAAGUCGAGCGAGCGGCGGACGGGUGAGUAAUGUAUGGGGACUGCCCGAUAGAGGGGGAUAACUACUGGAAACGGUGGCUACUACCGCAUACGAUCGGAUAACCCAUAUGGGAUUAGCUAGUAGGUGGGGUAAAGGCUCACCUAGGCGAAGAUCUCUAGCUGGUCUGAGAGGAUGACCGGCCAAACGGGGACUGAGACACGGCCCAGACUCCUACGGAGGCAGCAGUGGGGAAUAUUGCGCAAUGGGGGCAACCCUGACGCAGCCAUGCCGCGUGAGUGAAGAAGGCCUUCGGGUUGUAAAGUUCUUUCGUUAGCGAUGCGUUAACUACAGAAGAAGCACCGGCUAACUCCGUGCCAGCAGCCGCGGUAAUAC